UUAAGGGGCGUUAAGUUGCAGGGUAUAGACCCGAAACCCGGUGAUCUAGCCAUGGGCAGGUUGAAGGUUGGGUAACACUAACUGGAGGACCGAACCGACUAAUGUUGAAAAAUUAGCGGAUGACCUGUGGCUGGGGGUGAAAGGCCAAUCAAACCGGGAGAUAGCUGGUUCUCCCCGAAAGCUAUUUAGGUAGCGCCUCGUGAAUUCAUCUCCGGGGGUAGAGCACUGUUUCGGCUAGGGGGCCAUCCCGGCUUACCAACCCGAUGCAAACUGCGAAUACCGGAGAAUGUUAUCACGGGAGACACACGGCGGGUGCUAACGUCCGUCGUGAAGAGGGAAACAACCCAGACCGCCAGCUAAGGUCCCAAAGUCAUGGUUAAGUGGGAAACGAUGUGGGAAGGCCCAGACAGCCAGGAUGUUGGCUUAGAAGCAGCCAUCAUUUAAAGAAAGCGUAAUAGCUCACUGGUCGAGUCGGCCUGCGCGGAAGAUGUAACGGGGCUAAACCAUGCACCGAAGCUGCGGCAGCGAAAAAGGCGCCGAAAGGCGUAGUCGAUGGGAAACGGGUUAAUAUUCCCGUACUUGGUGUUACUGCGAAGGGGGGACGGAGAAGGCUAUGUUGGCCGGGCGACGGUUGUCCCGGUUUAAGCGUGUAGGUGUGUGUUCCAGGUAAAUCCGGUUCACUUUAACAC
rnacentral:rRNA from 1 species